AGCUGGCAGCUCGCUGCGCUGGUUUCCACCCACUCGCAUUCACAGGGAAACUUGCUUCAAUUGGACCUUUCUGUUCAAUGCCUUGUCUUUGCUAAAGAAAUUGUAAGGAUUCCACGACAAUGAGCGCAUUGAUUUCAGAUUUGUGAUGCCUUCAAAUUUGAUGAGAAUAAAUCUAAAUCUAUGCCUUUAUCCAUACAUUGGAGUAUGUAUGGUACAGAAGACUUCCAAGCUGGAUUUCAAUGACUCUGGAAAAGAGAGUGAGGCUAAGGACUUUGUGCAACUUGCCUCACCUAAAUUUAACUCAAGGUGCUUUUAAUAGAUCAAGAGUGAAAUGAUUCUUCAAAAAUAUCAUCUACGUAAAAGAAAACUGAAGUAAAACAAAAUGCACAGUUUUGGUUUUAAGGCAAAAGAUUACAUCAUGCAAAAUGCCAAAUUGGAGAAAUCAAAAACCAAAAUUAAGGUUGAAGAAGAAAUAUUAAUAAUUUUACACAUGCAGAUAACACUAUGAUGGCAGAAAGUGAAGAAGAAUUAAGAAGCCUCUUGAUGAGAGUGAGAGAAGGGUGUAAAAGUUGACUUGAAGCUUAAUAUUUAAAAACCAAAUAUUAUGGCAUCUGGUCCCAUUAUUUCCUGGCAAACAGAGAAAGAAGAAAUGGAAACUGUUAAAUUUUAUAUUCUUAGGUUCAAAGAUCAUUGCAGAAGGUGACUCCAGCCAUGAAAUGAAAAGAUGCUUGCUCCUUGGAAGGAAAGCUAUGGCAAAUCUGGACAGCAUAUUAAAAAGCAGAGCUAUCUCCUUGCUGGCAAAGGUCACAUACAGUCAAAGCCAGUAGUAAUAGCCAGAUGUGAGAACUGGACUAUCAGGAAAAGUGGGGCUACAGAAUCUACACUUUCAAAUUGUGAUGCUUGAGAAGACUUUUGAGAAUUCCUUGGAUAGCAAGGAGAUCAAAUCAAUCAACUCUUAAAAGAAAUUAAUUUUGACUAUUCAUUGUAAGGACAAACACUGAAGCUGAAGUACUUGGGCCACAUAAUGAAGUGGCAGGACUCAUAGGAAAAGACUCUGAUGCUGGGAAAGAGUGAAAGCAAAAGAAGGCAAUAGCAGACGAUAAGAUGGAUAGAUAGUGUCAUGGACGGAACACUCAUGAACUUAGACAGAUUUCAAGAGAUAGUGGAGGAUAGAAGAGUCCCAGCAUAUUAUGGUCCACACAAUCAUGAACCAUCCGACAUGACUGAACAACUGAAAAACUAUAUUCUUCUAGAUCCUGUCAUUCAGUGUAUUCCCAGCUUUGUGUUAUCUGAAAAUGUGAUGGAAAAAAAUGGUUAUCAUUCUUCUGUUUCCCACCUUCUUGAAUUUUUAUGAGCUGCUUCUCAUUCCCAGAAUGCACCUAUUAAAAUCUUUCUUUCCCUUUAAGACUCAGAAAAAGUGUCACUUCUUCAAUUAAGCCUUGUCUAAUCACCCCAACUAACACAUUUUCUGGUUCUAAUGCCUCUUUUCUGGAUCUCUCUUUUGCCCUUAACACACUUUAUCUGCUACUAUACAUAUUUGUAUACAUUUCACAAAACCCACAAUAGAAUGUAAGCUCUCCAAAGGCAGGGCUCAUACUGCUUUUUGUUUUAUCUGAAGCACUUUGCCCAGUACCUUGUACAGAGUGGUUGCUUAAUCAGUAUUUAUAAAUUUGAACUUUGAUUGAGAUGGGGGGUUGCAAGAGAAAAUUUUUAAGGUUUUUUCAAAACCUAAGACUAUAUAAAUUAGAUAUAAAAGAAAAUAAAAAGUAAAAUUUCAAUAAAGUCAAAGGAAUAAAUAAUAUCCAGUGUCUA